GUGGCUGUAGCUCAACGGUUAGAGCGUCCGGCUGUGGCCCGGAAGGUUGCGGGUUCAAGUCCCGUCAGCCACCC
rnacentral:tRNA from 1 species